rnacentral:lncRNA from 1 species
UUAUUUAUUACCACAAACAAACCAAAAAAACAGUGAAGAAGAAGAAGAACAGAGAAAAACCAUGAAUGCCCCUGAUCGUUACGAGCGUUUCGUUGUUCCUCAAGGAACCAAAAAGUCUCUCUUCUUCUUCUUCCUUCUAUUCAAUCAUCAUUUUCUUUUUCUCUUUAUCGGUUAAUUUUUCUAAUUAAUUUUGAAUUUGUGGUUUCUACAAAUAUUUGAUUGAAAAGGGUAUCUUAUGAGAGGGAUACAANNAUAAGGCAAUGUUUGGAGAAACAAUUUAAUCAAACGUUUAUAACAUAAUUGCUUAUGU